UUCGCAAUGCCCGAAAGGGUGACGAAGCGACGCCGCGUGUGGGAAGAAGGCCUUCGGGUUGUAAACCGCUGUCGGGAGUUAAGAAAUGCAAGGGUGUUAACAGCAUCCUUGCUUGACUAAGGCUCCGGAGGAAGCCACGGCUAACUCUGUGCCAGCAGCCGCGGUAAUACAGAGGCGGCAAGCGUUGUUCGGAAUUAUUGGGCGUAAAGAGCACGUAGGCGGCUGUGUAAGUCGGUUGUGAAAGCCUCCCGCUCAACGGGAGAACGGCAUCCGAUACUGCAUAGCUUGAGUGCGGGUGGGGAGAGUGGAACUUCUGGUGGAGCGGUGAAAUGCGUAGAUAUCAGAAGGAACACCGGCGGCGAAGGCGACUCUCUGGCCCGUAACUGACGCUGAGUGUGCGAAAGCUAGGGGAGCAAACGGGAUUAGAUACCCCGGUAGUCCUAGCCGUAAACGAUGGGCACUAAGUAGAGGGGUUUU
rnacentral:rRNA from 1 species